rnacentral:rRNA from 1 species
CACGUAGGGGGCAAGCGUUGUCCGGAUUUAUUGGGCGUAAAGAGCUCGUAGGCGGUUUCGUAAGUCGGAUGUGAAAACUCCAGGCUCAACUUGGAGACGCCAUUCGAUACUGCGAUGACUUGAGUCCGGUAGGGGAGUGUGGAAUUCCUGGUGUAGCGGUGAAAUGCGCAGAUAUCAGGAGGAACACCGGCGGCGAAGGCGGCAUCCUGGACCGGCAUUGACGCUGAGGCGCGAAAGCCAGGGGAGCAAACGGG